rnacentral:rRNA from 1 species
GACGAACGCUGGCGGCGUGCUUAACACAUGCAAGUCGAGCGAUGAAGCACCUUCGGGUGUGAAUUAGCGGCGAACGGGUGAGGAACACGUGAAGAAUCUGCCUUCAACUCUGGGAUAACUCCGGGAAACCGGGGCUAAUACCGGAUAUGAGCCUUGAUCGCAUGAUCGGGGCUGGAAAGUUUUUCGGUUGAAGAUGACUUCGCGGCCUAUCAGCUUGUUGGUGAGGUAAUGGCUCACCAAGGCGACGACGGGUAGCCGGCCUGAGAGGGUGACCGGCCACACUGGGACUGCGACACGGCCCAGACUCCUACGGGGGGCAGCAGUGGGGAAUAUUGCACAAUGGGCGCAAGCCUGAUGCAGCAACGCCGCGUGAGGGAUGACGGCCUUCGGGUUGUAAACCUCUUUUAGUAGGGAAGAAGCGAAAGUGACGGUACCUGCAGAAAAAGCACCGGCUAACUACGUGCCAGCAGCCGCGGUAA